rnacentral:lncRNA from 1 species
AAGAUUUAGUAUUGUGAGUGAAGAGAGGUUUCCAAGUUGAGAAGGGAUGGUGCCUUGUUGAUUGAAUUGAGAAGUAUCUAAGGCUGUGACUCUAUGGCUAUUGACAUCACAAGUGAUGCCAAUCCAGGUACAAACAGAGGUAUUCGAGGUCCAAUUAUGGGCAAGAAGGUUGGUCGGAUCAUAAGUUAUAUGAUCUUUCAGGGCAAGAAGAGCUUGUUGGUCUGUGGUAAUAUUGCUGCUUGCUGCUGCUGCUGCUGCAACAACCAAGCAAAGAAGCACGCAGUGGGUUAAUGACACAAUGAUCAUACUGAGACUAAGGUUUCUCUCCAUGAAACAUUGCUUUGUUUGUUACUGGUUAAUUUGGUAAUGCAAGGUGUUUCGAUUGCUGAAGAUAUAUAUAAUGCAAAUGUCGAUCUCGUGGUGUUUGUGAUUGUAAUUAAGCAAGACUGGAAGAGAUGACCUGGCUGGUAGUAUUCACAUCACUCAGUGCCCGUCAAUUAAGGUACUUGUUUUUUGUAAUGGCGCCAUCUCAUAAACAUAGAUGCAAAAAAUCUCACUUACAAGAUCUUAUCUAAGAUAUUCAAGAAAAUUAACAAGUGCGAAAUUAAAAUAUUUAGAUAGUAUUAUGACUGCUGUACGGCCAAGGNNNNNNNNNNNNNNNNNNNNNNNNNNNNNNNNNNNNNNNNNNNNNNNNNNNNNNNNNNNNNNNNNNNNNNNNNNNNNNNNNNNNNNNNNNNNNNNNNNNNNNNNNNNNNNNNNNNNNNNNNNNNNNNNNNNNNNNNNNNNNNNNNNNNNNNNNNNNNNNNNNNNNNNNNNNNNNNNNNNNNNNNNNNNNNNNNNNNNNNNNNNNNNNNNNNNNNNNNNNNNNNNNNNNNNNNNNNNNNNNNNNNNNNNNNNNNNNNNNNNNNNNNNNNNNNNNNNNNNNNNNNNNNNNNNNNNNNNNNNNNNNNNNNNNNNNNNNNNNNNNNNNNNNNNNNNNNNNNNNNNNNNNNNNNNNNNNNNNNNAUUAAGUGUUGUGAGUGAAGAGAGGUUUCCAAGUUGAGGAGGGAUGGUGCCUUGUAGAUUGAAUUGAGAAAUAUCUAAGGCUGUGACUCUAUGGCUAUUGACAUCACAAGUGAUGCCAAUCCAGGUACAAACAGAGGUAUUCGAGGUCCAAUUAUGGGCAAGAAGGUUGGUCGGAUCAUAAGUUAUAUGAUCUUUCAGGGCAAGAAGAGCUUGUUGGUCUGUGGUAAUAUUGCUGCUUGCUGCUGCUGCUGCUGCAACAACCAAGCAAAGAAGCACGCAGUGGGUUAAUGACACAAUGAUCAUACUGAGACUAAGGUUUCUCUCCAUGAAACAUUGCUUUGUUUGUUACUGGUUAAUUUGGUAAUGCAAGGUGUUUCGAUUGCUGAAGAUAUAUAUAAUGCAAAUGUCGAUCUCGUGGUGUUUGUGAUUGUAAUUAAGCAAGACUGGAAGAGAUGACCUGGCUGGUAGUAUUCACAUCACUCAGUGCCCGUCAAUUAAGGUACUUGUUUUUUGUAAUGGCGCCAUCUCAUAAAGUCAAGAAGAAAAUGAUGCAUUAGUUUUGCUAUCAAUGCUCAAUUGUUAUUAUCUUCUUUCUUUGGCGAGUUUUCUGAAGCCACAAACUUGCAUUUUAGAUAAUUGAUUCUACAGGAAAGUGAAUAGUAUAGAAAUUAACAUAUUUGUCUUGUAUUUGUGUUUGCGUGAAAUUAGGAUUCUCUCUUGAUAUAAUUUUUCUGACUAAAUAUAAUAAAUAAAUUAAAAUAUAAUAAAUAAGUAAAUAUUGAUUGUACACAAAUAAAAUUACAUUUGUUUCAAAAAAAAUUCAGAACUCAAAUAUUAUAAGAUUAUAAGCGAAUCCUUUCCAUGAGAAUGAAAUUUAUAUAUAUUUCCUUUCGUAUCUUCAAUUUUAAAUUUUAAGGACCUAAUGAUAUAAAUUCGAGUAGUCAAAUAUUGAUAUUUUCGUAUUUAAUACUAUAUUAAGCAUUAAAUUAUUAUUAUUUUUUUAAAGGGAGGGUAUAAGCACCCAUAAAAAAGGCUAUCGCAGAAGUUUUUAGUUAAUUUUUUAGUAAAUUGGAAAAAAAAUUAAUUUUUACUUGCUCUAAAAAUUUUAUAUUGCCAAAACAUAACCGCAAUAAUUCUUAUGGACCGAUGUUUCUUUGACAUCCACUUCUGCAAGCACCCUUUCUCUUCAACUUCUCCUUUUUUUUUUUUUGCACAUAAAUUUGUUAAAUGUUCUUUACUCUUUCUCCAAUUAUUUGAUAAUUAAGGUUAUUUUCAACAACCAAAAAGUUAAAUGAAGCAAAAAAAUUGAAUUAGUUUUUCAAUGGAGAUCAUCAGCCAUUGCCUUAUUAAAAUGAUAUCAUUAUGUCGAGUGGAUUGUAUGAGUAUAAUAUACAAGUCAAUUGUUAUUAUCUUCUUUCUUUGGCUUUUUUAGUGGCCACAAACUUGCAUUUUAGAUAAUUGAUUCUACAGGUAAGUGAAGCGUAUAGAAAUUAACAUAUUUGUGUGUGCGUGGGAUCAAGAUUCUCUCUUGAUAUGAUAUUUCUGAGUAGAUAUACUCACAUGAUUGAUAGUUAAUGAAUAAAAAUAUAAUAAAUAAGCAAAUAUUGAUUGUACAAAAAUAAAAGUACAUUUGUUUUAAAAAAUCUUUCAAAGCUCAAAUAUUUUAAGAUUAUAAAAGGAUCCUUUCCUAUGAGAAUGAAAUUUAUAUAUAUUUCAUUCUGUGUCUUCAAUUUUAAAUUUUAAGGACCUAAUGAUAUAAAUUUGUGUAGUCAAAUAUUGAUAUUUUCGUAUUUAAUACUAUAUUAAGUAUUAAUUAUUAUAUUUUUUAAAAAGGGAGGGUACAUGCACCCAUAAAAAAUGCUGUCGCCCGAAGUUUUUAAUUAAUUUUUUGGUAAAUCGGAAAAAAUCAAUUUUUAUUUGCUGAAAAUUUUUUAUAUUGCCAAAAAAUUAAUAACCACAAUAAUUCUUAUAGGCUGAUUUAUCUUUGCACCCACUUCUGCAAGCACCCUUUCACUUCAAUUUCUCAUUUAUUUUUGGCACAUAAAUUUGUUAAAUGUUCUUUACUCUUUCUCCAGUUAUUUGAAAAUUAAGGCUAUUUUCAACAACCAAAAAGUUAAAUAAAACAAAAGAAUUGAAGUAGUUUUCAGUGGAGAUCAUCAAGCAUUUAUUAAAAUGAAAUCAUUAUGUAGAGUGGAUUGUAUGAAUAUAACAAACAAGUCAUUUUACUUUCCAUAAAAACCAAGAGUUGAAAGUCAAAAUUAGAAUUUCAGCAAGAGUAUUUCCAUAAAAACCAAGAAUUUCCAUAAAAAUAUUACUGCUAUUGUUUAUUGUUUUUUUUCAUCAUUUCAGCAACUGACAAGUAAAUUUCAAAGGGUAAUUUUUAAAAACCACCCCUGAGGUUUGCCUCUGAUACACCUAGAGAGAAUAUAUGCAUAUAUUGACAACAUCCCCCCUGGCCGUGUAUAAGAGUUAAACAUCCGCUAGGCAGUUGAGGGCAAUAACGUAAAUGGCCUAUUUUUUUAUUUUUAAAUCUUACAAAAGCUGAUAUAAAGUAAUUGAUUAGACAAGAGCAGCUAGAGAUUGGACAUGGCUUUGAAGCUAGUGAAACUAUUUAGGUACAUGCAUGCCUUAUUGAAUUCUAACCUUGGUUCUACUGUAUCUCUUGAAAGGGAUUGGUUUGGUGGUGCUGAGUUUCCAAUAUUCAAGAGGUUCUUCAUUUGUUUUGAUAACAGUAGAAGAGGAUUUUUUUAAGGAUGUAGACCAAUGAUUGGGGUUGAUGGCUGUCACUUAAAAGGACCGUACAGAGGUGUUCUUUUGACAGCUGUGAGCAUUGAUGCAAAUUAUGGCAUUUACCCUUUGGCAAUGUGUGUGGCUGAGACUGAAAAUAAUGACUUAUGGCAAUAUUUUAUGGAUAAACUAUAUGAUCAAGUGGGUUGUAAUGGUGGUGAAGGAUUAUGCUUUAUUAGUGAUAGGCAAAAGGGUGUGCUCAAUGCCUUAGAUAGAAUAUUCCCUUUAUCAUUAAAGAUAUAUUGUUGCAGACACAUAUACGCGAACUUCAAGCAAAAGUUUCCUGGAUUGUUGCUGAAAAAAGUGUUUUGGAGAGCCUGUAGAAGUUCAAAUGCUGCCGACUUUAACUCCCAUAUGGAAGAACUGAAAACUAUAACUCCUGAAGGGUAUGAAUGGCUCAUGAAAAUCCCCACCGUGUGUUGGGCAAAGCAUCUAUUCCCUCCACAUACUAAAUGCAGCCAUGUUACCAAUAAUAUGACUGAAUCUUUUAACAAUUGGAUUAACAAUUUCAGAGGUUUACCAAUUGUGAGGAUGUUUGAGGAGAUACGAAGGAAAACUAUGCGCUUGAUUAAUAGGAGGCAUGAGGCAGCCCUUGAAUGGAAUAAUGAGCUGCCACCAGUGGUUAGAAGGAAGAUUAUUAAGGGAAGAGAAGAGGCAAGAUCACUUUCUGUCAUUUUUGGGCAUAAUGAGACAUUCGAGAUCCUUGAAGAUGUGACCAAGAUCGUUGUUGUUGAUCUGUUGAAGAGAAAGUGUGAUUGUGGUGAAUGGGCCAUUUCUGGAAUGCCUUGCAAACAUGCCCUCUGCCGCAUAGAUGCAAAGAGGUAUAAUGUUGAAGACUAUGUACAUCUAUUUCUGAAAAAGGCAGCUUAUAUUGCUGCUUACAAGCAUCAAAUCAUACCAGUUCCUAAUGAGAAGAGGUGGCCACUUUUACUUUAUGAUAAUUUACAGCCACCAGCAAUUAUAAGGUCUGUUGGUAGACCUCAAACCAAGAGAAGGAGAGAGGCGGGUGAAUCUUCAAUAUUCAAACGAAGCUCAAGCGUUAGGUGCUCUCGAUGUGACCACUGAGGCCAUAACAAGAGAACUUGUCUAAGAGCAACUAAUGAUCAAAUGAAAAAAGACAAGGUAAAUGUUAAAAAAUAAACUUAGAUGUAUUCGUAAUUACGCUUUAACUUGUAAAAUAUUAACAUAAUUAUAUGAUUUUCAUUUUAUUUUGCAGGCACUGGUUUCUGAUACGAGCUCACAACAUAUAGACAUUCAAAUCAGCCAAACACAGUCAUCUGCCCAGAAUAAUGGUAUCUCUUCAAUCCUUAAAAUACUGUCAACUGAUAUAAUAUCCUUAUUUGGAUCACUUUGUUUUAUUCUGAAUAUGUGUUAAGGUAACUAAAUUGAAAAACCUCAGCAUAAUCUAAUUAGCAGAGUUUAUUACUGCUGCCCAGCUCACUUAGCUAACUAGUCCUAAGUUAGUUAUUUUGUUAGCUUGAAAGCAAAAGUAUAUACUAUGUAGAAUAUUCAAAAUCAUUAGAUAUAACUUGUGUAACUAAAACCAAUUCACUCAGUUUUAAUUCACAUACUUCAGCUCAUAACUCUAUUCUUUUUCUUCGUUUUUUUAGUUGCCAAAUAAACAUUCUAGAAUCUGAAUGUAUGCAAUAUGUUUGUAGGGCAUUUGACUCAAGAAUGAAGUCUGAUUUGAAGCUUAAAGCAUCCAGCAGUAUCUAGAACAUUAUGCUCAAAAUUUAUGACAAGACAAAGCACAUAACCUGACCCCAUACACUAUUUUUUUGUGGGGAUUAGAUGAUGCAACAUUUUUUGAAGAAUCGGGACGUCGAUAGAUGAUGUAUCAUCUUUUGCUCACCUAACGCAUAGGUUUGAGUUUUUUUUAAUCACAUUUUGUUCAGAACUAUAGGCUAACAUUGGGAAGUUACUGCAUUCGUCAUGUAUGUAGCAAUUGGCUUAGUUAUUGCAAACUAUUUCUAUGAUAGUUGCCUUUUUUGUAAGUAUGUAUAUGGUGUGCUUUUUGUCUCUUGUAAAGGCUAAGUGUAAGCUAGCCAAACAAUGCCUGUUCAAACUCAAAUUCUGCUGGAAUGCAAUUUAUCUAUAUGGUUAUGCCUAAUUAGUCACUUUCAAUUUAUACGCUUUCUGCUACUGCACUGCUGUACCGUACAUCCGCCUUGGCCGUACAGCAGAUGAUGUCGAGAGUACUUUGAGUUGAUUUGGAGUUGAAUGGAAACUUGUCUGCACAGUUUCUUUACCAUCCAGUAGUUUAACAAGUCUCAGUUGUUCUUUGAUUUGAUUGUAUUGUGAUUAUUUGUUGUUGAAGUGGGCUGGUGAUACAAGUUAGUUUCAAGUAUGUUGGCUGAUGAUGGUGAGAUUAAGUUCAGUUGAUUUUGAGUAUAAUGGAGGCUUCACUGGGCAGUUACUGCGUUGAUACACAAAAAUGUUACAAAAGAGCAUUUGAUGAUCCAUUUGUUUGCUACUGCAUAUUCAUUUAGCUGCUUUAGGUAUUACUACAUGCAUUUGUUGACUAAACAUUUACUUAGCAGCUAUGACUACACCUAUUAUUGAAACUACAAUAGCACAAAUGAAAAAGACCAAGUUUAGGAACAAGAUUACAUUUACAGCACUGCAUUUUUCUCUAUUUUGUUGUGCUUUUUGCAUAAUUGAUUUCAUUUCCUUCAUAUCCUUUUGCAUACCCAUCAGCAGCUCAUAAUUUUCUUGACAUGUUCGUAUACCAUCAAAUAUAGCACCUCUGUUGAAAUCAUUUGGAGAUGGAAUCCAGAAUUUGAAAUAGCCACAGCCAUGUUUGCUAUCCAUACAACAAUAAUAAAGCUUGUUUGGGUUGUCAUCCGAUUCUGACACUUUCAAAGCAGCUCUUUUGUAGCAUCUACAUAUCUUGUUUGAAUAUUGUAUGAGGUUGCCAUUAAUCUCAUCCCUCCAUCCUCAGCUUUCUUGACUGCUUGAUCCAAUUGAUUGUUGUGAACUUGCUGAAGCCAUGACAAGUAUGAGAGUUGAGAUGAUUUGCAAAUGAAGAGUAUUGUGCAAACAAAGAAUCAAAUUAUGCCCAUUUAAAUAGAGUAAAGCAGCACUGAUAUUACCGUUGGUUACCAACGGUAAUAUCAGUGAUGCUUUUAUAUUAGUUACUUUAAAAUAUUUUAAUCUAUUUGUCUUAUUGCUACCUAAUUGUUACUAUUAAAAUAAUUGGUUUCAAGGGCAUUUCAGUCUUUUUAACACCCAAUUCAGUUUUGUUUUAUAUAUGAUUGUGUAAUGUCAAAAAAUAAAUUCAUAAGGGUAUAAUAGCCUUUCCAAUACUCUUUUCCAUUUGGCGCCAAAAAGAAAGAUCUUCUACAGUAUCAAAUUAUCUUGUCAUUCCUUGAAAUGUGUUGUUAAGGGCAUUUUUGAACAUUCCCUCAACUGCCUAACAGAUGUUUAACUCUUAUACACGGCUAGGGGGGAUGUUGUCAAUAUAUGCAUAAAUUCUCUCUAGGUGUAUCAGAGGCAAACUUCAGGGGUGGUUUUUAAAAAUUAACCAAAUUUCAAAUGAUGUAUCACUCAUCAACAUUACUGUAAUGAUUGCAAUCGUUAGUUUACUUAUCCCUCCUAAUUUAUAUAUAUAUAUAUAUUUUUUCUGCAAAACUACCAUAAAUCAAAGGUGUCACAAUUUAAAAAAAAUAAAAAAAAGCAUCUAAAAUCAUCAAAACCUAACAACAAUGAUCAUGGUCAUAACCUAUAUAUUUUACAAUAAAAAUUGCAAGUAACUUGCUCUUGCUGUACACACACCUGUGCCAUAUAACAUUAAAGAGGGUCAAUUUUACUGGCAAUGAGAUUCCUGUGCUUCAUUUUGUUCUCUGUUUGCCAUUCAAUCUCCACAAUGAAUAAAUGAAGAGUUAAUUGUAACUUUGCUUUUUUCUAUCACAGUACUGUGUUCACAGUACUGUGUUACUAUUAUAUAUUCAUCAUAGGAGCCCAGGCUCUUUUCAAUUAUACUAUACUACUCACAAUCAUAGAAGAUCAUUAAAUCAUCUUAUAACAUUAGAUUCCCUGAGAAUAAGCAUUAUAGUAAGCCACCAAAUCUAGUCUUUGUUAAAUUGGCCCUCCUUUCCACUAAAGCUAAUGUAACCAAAAAACUAGAGUCAACACAGUUGGAUGGUCUGGACGACAGUAAGAUUGUGUGCGCUGGUUGGUCUGUUAUUGGUCAAACGAAUGUCUAAUAUUGAAGACAUGUUGAAGACGAAGGAAGACACUGAACUAGAGAGCUGGUUAUCAGUGGAGUCUAGAAAUUUUAGCGUAUGCAUGUGUAGAUGGAGGGGGGAACGCUUCCAGAAAGCUUAUUAUGACUAAGAUUAAGCGUUGUGAGUGAAGAGAGGUUUCCAAGUUGAGGAGGGAUGGUGCCUUGUAGAUUGAAUUGAGAAAUAUCUCAGGUUGUGACUCUAUGGCUAUUGACAUCACAAGUGAUGCCAAUCCAGGUACAAACAGAGGUGUUCGAGGUCCAAUUAUGGGCUAAAAGGUUGGUCGAAUAAUAAAUUAUAUGAUCUUUCAGGGCAAGAAGAGCUUGUUGGUCUGUGGUAAUAUUGCUGCUUGCUGCUGCAACAACCAAGCAAAGAAGCAGGCAGUGGGUUAAUGACACAGUGAUCAUACUGAGACUAAGGUUUCUCUCCAUGAAAGAUUGCUUUGUCUGUUACGGGCUUAUUUGGUAAUGCAAGGUGUUUCGAUUGCUGAAGAUAUAUAUAAUGCAAAUGUCGAUCUCGUGGUGUUUGUGAUUGUGAUUAAGCAAGACUGGAAGAGAUGAACUGGCUGGUAGUAUUCACAUCACUCAGUGCCGGUCAAUUUAGGUACUU